GAUGAGGGGUGUUAGGUCUGCACCUGAGAUCCAAACCCACGAACCCCGGACCGCUGAAGUGGAGCACGUGAACUUAAUCACUGCACCACUGGGCCAGCCCCUCAAUCAUGGUUAUUUUAAAUUCCUCACGUGAGAAUUCUAAAAUAGCUGAGUGUGGUUCUGAUGCUUGUUUUGUCUCUUCAGACUGUGUUUGUCUGGCCUUUUACUACGGCUUGCGAUUUUUUGUUGAAAGCAGGACAUGAUGUAUGAGGUACUUUAGGAGAUUAAUCAGCUUCAGCUUUGUUGGUGGAGAGACACCAAGAGAUGACCAUUUCUGUCCAUCCUCCAUCUGUGGCACGAGGGCUAGAUCCUCUUUCCAGAGACAAGAGCAUCACAGGGAGGGAGGCUCCACUGAAGCUCAGCUCAGGCCCCAUCUGUUACCCUGCAGGGUGGGGCCAACUGUCCCCAGAGACGGCUGGAGGCUGUGCACGGAGGGCUUCACGUCAGGACUCAGGAGGAUUGGGAGAGGAAGGGAGGCUUAGGGAAUCAGGGAACAUCCACCGGGAAUGUCCUCCAGAGGACCCAACAGAGACACAGUGCCUCUCUUGUGUGGAACAACAGAGGGAAUUAAGUGAACAACUGAGCCUUCUUGACCACCGCCUCCCUCAACUUCCUCCCAUCCUCCCCCCAAAUCUGAAACACUUCAGGAUACUUCGGACGCUUAGUCCUUCAAGGCAAGCAUGGCUUACAGGGCCUUGGAGGCCAAUGUGUAUUUGGUCUGAAAAAAACAGUGAGAUGAUACUGUGUUUUGGAAAGAGAGUGAGCCCUCAUCCAUGCUUUUCUAAGAAGCGCCAGCCAUCCUGCUGUGGACCACCGAUGGAGAGGAGUGCCAGCCAGCAGAGGAGCCCAACUCCAGCAGCGGCAAUAAUUUGGGUCAUAAAUCUGGCUGAAUGUGCAGCCCGUUAAGUUCAUCCUCCAUGACGCUCACUUCCUCCUGUCCCUUCUGCGUGAGCGCAGGCUUCUCAGCCCACUGAUCAAACAAGAGAAGCGUGCCUCCUGCCGCCCCCUUCCUGAAGCCGAUGAAGCAUAGAGUGUUCUUAAUCAGUCCCAAGUAGAAUCUGAAGUAUUCGUCCUGAAUGUGGUGUGUCUGGGCCCGCCCUGCACCCGCCCUGCACCCGCCCUGCACCCACAGCACAUUUCAUCACAGCGGCGUCCAGGAAGGCUUUUCAGAAACUUCCUGAAGCAGAGGCCAGGAGCCCCUGCCGCCUGCCCCGCGCAGCACGUGCUUCUGCUCCACCGGCCUGCUGGUGCGCCUAGCGCUGCGGGGCUGCCAGCCAGGCCCUUCGCCCAGCUCCUGCCCGCCUGCGUGUCACCGGUCACCGCGAGGGGAGACCUGCGUCUGCCGGCAGCAGAGGCGCUGAUGGGAAGGCUCGUGAGGAGAGGACGGAGGUGAAGGAGGGGAGGCGCGAGGAGCAGGAAGGAGUAGGGGAGCUCAUCCUGCCUCUUUAAAAAUCAUCCUCCAUGUUGAUCCUCAAGUUGGAUGCAAGUUAAUAUAAUAUAGAGCAAAAAAAGGAAGGGAAAAACGGAAAGAAUAAAAGAGGAAAGAAGAAAAAGGAAGGAGGGAAGAAAAAAGAGAGAGAAAGAAAGAAUCCUUCCUGCCACAUGUUCUCUUGCUUUUUUUCAAUCAAAAAUUUUUACAAAAUCUGUUAAAGAUCCAUAAGCAUGCAGAUGGACUUCAUCAAGAUUUUAAAUGUCUAUUCACCAAAAAACAUCACUAAGAAGGUGAAAAGCAAGCCACAGACGGGG
ensembl:lncRNA